AAUUGAACCAGUGACCCUUUGCUUCCUGGGCUGGUGCUCAAUCCACUGAGCCACACCAGCCAGGGCUAAAGCUUAUGUUUUUAAGACAUUUAAUAUGUAGGUUCUCCCCCAGCUAAACUAUGAGUUCCUUAAGUUUGACAAAUGAGUCUAUAUUAAAAUACCAUUGGCACAAUUCAUAGAGUGACAUAUAAAUAGAAAGUCUUUGAUAUCGCCUUGCUGAACACUGAAUGAAAGAAUGAAUGAAUGAA